rnacentral:rRNA from 1 species
UUCUUGGUCAUUUAGAGGAAGUAAAAGUCGUAACAAGGUUCUCCGGGGAUCGGACAGAAAUCUCUCCCAUCCACCGCCUCUGGAAGCCUUGAAUUUCCGGUCUACAAAACUCACUCGAGGUUAGUAGGCAACACCAGGGAUCUGACUGGGAGUUUAAGUGGAAGCUUAACUACCAGCAGCCAUUAUAGUUAUACAGAAUACUUAACAUGGUUCACAGAUCAAUUACUGGUGGCCCAGAAAUUCUCUCAUUCUUCGCAUCUAGAUAAAGCUUUGGAGAAUAAUCAUGGGUUAAAAUAUGACCGGCUCUAUCCGGGAACGGAUAGAAUUUAGUGUUCCGUAGGUGAACCUGCGGAAGGAUCAUUAAUGUCACGGCUGAAGGGAGCGAUCCCUGCAGUACCGGUUAACCCUAUGUUGUCCACUACUUUGCUUCUUUGGCGGGGUGACCCGUCAGAAGAUAUUUUAAAAUCUUUGAACAUGUUAUCUGAAUCUUACAAAAUAAAGCAAAACUUUCAACAACGGAUCUCUUGGUUCUGGCAUCGAUGAAGAACGCAGCGAAAUGCGAUAAGUAAUGUGAAUUGCAGAAUUCAGUGAAUCAUCGAAUCUUUGAACGCAUAUUGCGCCCUUUGGUAUUCCGAAGGGCAUACCUGUUCGAGCGUCAUUACAACCCUCAAUUAUAAUUAUUUGAUGUUGGGCAUUGCCUUUUAGGCAUGCCUUAAAGUUAGUGACGGUAGCAUGUCAACCUCAAGCAUACAGAAAUGCGAUGUAGGAAGAGUGUAGCCAGUCUGAACAUUUCUCGAUGUUGACCUCGGAUCAGGUAGGAAUACCCGCUGAACUUAAGCAUAUCAAUAAGCGGAGGA